GGCGCGCAGCGGCCUCGUGUGGCUCUUCUCGCAGCUCUACCUGUACUCGUUCAUCAGCCUCUUCAUCUACAUGGUGCUCAGCCUCUUCAUCGCGCUCAUCACGGGCGCCUACGACACCAUCAAGGUGCUCCCGGCGCUCCCCGGGGUGCUCCCGGUCCUCCCCGCGCUCCCCGGGGUGCUCCCCGUGCUCCCGGGGUGCUCCCAGUCCUCCCCAGGGUGCUCCCCACUACUCCCCGGGGUGCUCCCAGUCCUCCCCAGGGUGCUCCCGGUGCUCCCCGCGCUCCCAGGGUGCUCCCAGUCCUCCCCGGGGUGCUCCCGGUCCUCCCCGGGGUGCUCCCAGUCCUCCCUGGGGUGCUCCCGGUGCUCCCCGCGCUCCCAGGGUGCUCCCAGUCCUCCCCGGGGUGCUCCUAGUCCUCCCCGGGGUGCUCCCGGUCCUCCCCGCGCUCCCUGGGGUGCUCCCGGUCCUCCCCGCGCUCCCCGGGGUGCUCCUAGUCCUCCCCGGGGUGCUCCCGGUCCUCCCCGCGCUCCCCAGGGUGCUCUCAGUCCUCCCUGUGCUCCCCGGGGUGCUCCCAGUCAUCCCUGGGUGCUCCCAGUCCUCCCUGGGGUGCUCCUCUCCGUCCUCCACACUCCCCGUGCUCCUCCUCCCCGUCCCCGUGCUCCCCCUCCGCCCCCGCGGUGCUCAGCCUCUUCACCGCGCUCAUCACGGGCGCCUACGACGCCAUCAAGGUGCACCCCGCGCUCCCCGGGGUGCUCCCCCGCACUCUCCGUGCUCCUCGCCGCUCCUCCCUGUCCCCGUGCUCCCCAGGGGUGCUCCUCCGUCUCCCCAUCCUCCUCCCUGUCCUCCUCCCCGUUGUCAUCCCCAUCAUCCCUGUCCCUCUCCUCGCUGUGCUCCUCGCCCUCCCCUUCAUUGUCCUCCUCCUCCUCCUCCCUGUCUUCAUCUCCAUCCUCCGCUCCCCGUCCUCCCCCAUCACCGUCCUCCCUGUCCACCCUCUCACCGUCCUCCCUCCUCUCCCUCACCUC
rnacentral:lncRNA from 1 species